AAAUGUAGACACACAGGUGAUCAACUUUGACGCGCCGGCGCGUAAUGUGUCUGAGCAAAAUCAAACAUGAUGCGGAAUUAUCCCAGUGGCAGUUCUUAGGGGAAGACAGAAAAACACCAAUACAGCUGAAGUAAGCUAUAUUCAGGAGAGAGGAGUAGCAACAUGUUGGUCCAGUUAGCAGUUCUCGACAGGCAAACUGAAACAAGGAAUAUCAGUCAACCAGCCCUGCAGACAUUAACCUACAUGUUGACUCUGCAGAAGUGCCCAGAUCCUACACUUCACGGUCAUUGUUUAAAGUACAUGAGGAGAGAGCGCAUCUUGGCUGAUCUGUACAUUUCAUGUGAUUCGGCGCAUCAUGGUUCAUUAAAAAUUUGCAACAUAAUCAGUGUUCCCACGUUCAAAGCUGUGGAGGGAAGCUGUGCUGUGAGGAUCCUGGAUCCUGAUCAAGCAUCUAUGCUAAGGAUAUGUUUUUGCUAUGGACCACAGUGCCUGUUACCAUGACAACAAAAAGAAAUGUCCCUUCCUUCACUUCACCCAAGUGCUAUUCAACACUGAAACCAUCCUCUGCUCCUCUCUCCUCUGCUUCGAAGUUACUACUCACUUCUCUGCUCCCAGCAUCUUAGGCAGAUGUGGGGAAUAUACUGUGGCUGGUCUCCUGCAGACCAGUGACUGAAGACUGAUCACGUGACUAAUUGAGGUGUCAGCAAGAUCACUGCAUUGUUUCUAGUCUUUUUUUCAAGCGAGCUACCAUGGCAGCGACUGAGUAGCACUGACUGAAACAGAAUGAAUUGAGCUGCUAUUUACAAACACGUUAAAGUGGUGAGGCGCUCAGCGGUGACCCAGGCGUUAUUGUGCAUCAUGGUCUGAGGAAGUUGUGUAAGGAAACACUCCAUCUGACCUGCACUGAAGAGGUGAGGUGGAAAAAAGACAUCUGUUUGGUAUCUUCCACUGUAUUAGGCUCUUAACGGCAAAUAGACUUUUAUCCACCUUACCUUGGAGACGGCGUUGAUGACACAGAGAACUCAUACCUGCUGAGUACAGAUGCCAAAUGAGAUCUGGGCCUGUUUUGGAGCUUUGGACCUUUAACCUCCUUCUAUUCUCACACCUUGGAGUGUCAGAGACAGAUGAAGAGCUGUCAGAGGCUCUGUUCUGAGUGGAGUGCAGUUCUGAGAUUUGACAUUUUGACAAAGGUCUUAAAAAUAUUUGAACCCCAAAAGCCCCUGUUAUGGGGGAAACAAACAAAAGCAUAAACAUUCAAAUACUAUGCACAUGAGGGUUAAACAGUUCUUAAUAAAGCAUAAAGGCAUCGGACAGGAUCAAUUUCCUGUUUGUUUGUACUGUAUGUAAGCUGCGAGAAGCGAAACACAUUUGGAUUGAAUUCACCCUUAGGAUGGUCUUAUCAGAUUAAUAACAGUGUUUCUGACAACCCAAACUUUGAUUUCUUCUCAUUUGGUCUGCAAAUGAAACUUACAAGCUGCCUAAGCCUCCCCACUUCAAAGCAGCUGUUGGGCUGAGAGAUAUGUCUGAUGGUUUGAUGUGAGCUGGCUGAUUUAGGAUUGUACUGCUGAUUCUUCUGUCCUUCCCCAGCUCGCAGUUCCUCUCACUGUUUCUAAGAAUUGAACUUGGGGGUGACUGUGGGUAGAGUGGCCGUCUCCUAACCGGUUUGAAUCUCGGUGCCUGCAGGCCACAUGUCAAAGUGUCCUUGGGCAUUUAGUGUCAUUACGGCAAGACACUUUUACAUUGAUCUGUAUAGGUCUACCAGUUUGCGUCUCUAUAUAAGAGCAAUAUUGUAAAAUGCCUAAUCUAUCCGUGACAACACAUCUAUGCAGUGUCACUGACCAUCAAAUUUAAUAAAUUAAGAGCAAAAGGAGCAUGCCAGAGGAGUAAGCCCAAGGUCAGCGCCACUGGAUCUAAGUGCAGAAGCUGGUAAAUGGUCCCCUGGGGAGGUCACUGGCCUGAGUCAUGCUGUAUUUGUCUGGCCAAAGGCCUACUGACGUUUUCUGAAUGUAAAAGAACAGUUUGUCUAUAGCAGGAAGCACAAUUGUUGCUGACAACGUUUCCAUCCACAGCCCUGCGACAGGAGCAUUGUUUGUAAAGCAGCAGGCGGGUACCUUUUGGGACUAAGCUGAUUGGGUUUCAUGGGCCCGAAGAACAGCAGCAUCAGGUUUCCAUGAGGAAACAGUGAACGUCAAAUUCACUGGCAUGAAUGUAUGAGAGCAGCCUCUGACCAUGUGCUGAGAUAUUGUUGCCUGUCAGGUGUCGUCUUACACCACUGAAUGAUGGGGUCUUUUCCUAGAACGCAGUAGCAGGCUCUGACAGAAGCCAUGACAAGUGUGGAGCUAAGAAGACAGUGCUGUGGCAGCACUCUGACCUGUUUUCUUCUGUUUCUAUGUUCCAUAUAUAAUUAAACUAAGAGUAUUACACUGUCAUUCCACACAAAAUACACAG